GGGACUCCCGUGGUCUGCUUGUGGAGCGUGUUUCUGAAGACAGGGUGUGAUUCAUGGCACAUUGUGUGGGCUGUGUCUCUCAACAUUGCUGGUGUCGUUGCUUUAUCAUUAACAUUCUGUAGUGGGGGACGGUAGAAGGCGGAGCACGUGGCUUCUGUCCUGACCGACGGGUGUGGGCUUUUGGAAUCAUACGUGGAUGGCAUCUCUCCUGGGUUGUGCCUCAUGGAUUGUGCUGCCUGUGGUGCCUCAUCCGCGCUGUUGGCUGUGUGUUUGUAUGUCCGCAAUGUGUUGUUGCACCAUUUGGCGACCUUUGGCUCUGGAUUGUGGGUGGGGGGGGUCCGUUUUUCAACAAUUGGUCUUGCUUCCACGGGCAUUUUGUGGGUUUUGAUGUGGGUGAGCAUCCUUGGGCGGGAUGGUGCCGUCACCUUCCGAUGUUUGGGGACGGUGGGAGGGUGUUUGCUCUUGACUGUUUUCGCUAUUUUCGCUUUGGGUUUGUUUGUGGGAUCGCCGCGGAUUCUUUCAGCGUUCGAGUCUUGUAUAUACUUACGGAUGAGCUCGUCAUGUUCUUGUUGCCUCAUUGUGGCGAGCUUUUUGGUUUUGUCUUCUCGUGUUGCUAUUGGCCCAUUAUCUUUU
rnacentral:lncRNA from 1 species